rnacentral:rRNA from 1 species
CAGCCGCCACGGUAAUACGUAGGGUGCAAGCGUUGUCCGGAAUUAUUGGGCGUAAAGAGCUCGUAGGCGGUUUGUCGCGUCUGCUGUGAAAUCCCGAGGCUCAACCUCGGGCUUGCAGUGGGUACGGGCAGACUAGAGUGCGGUAGGGGAGAUUGGAAUUCCUGGUGUAGCGGUGGAAUGCGCAGAUAUCAGGAGGAACACCGAUGGCGAAGGCAGAUCUCUGGGCCGUAACUGACGCUGAGGAGCGAAAGCGUGGGGAGCGAACAGGAUUAGAUACCCCUGUAGUCCCUGUCUCUUAUAC